rnacentral:rRNA from 1 species
UAUUGGUCAAUGGUCGGGAGACUGAACCAGCCAAGCCGCGUGAGGGAGGAAGGUACAGAGUAUCGUAAACCUCUUUUGUCAGGGAACAAAGGCGGGGACUAGUCCCCGGCUGAGGGUACCUGAAGAAAAAGCAUCGGCUACCGCCGUGCCAGCAGCCGCGGUAACACGGAGGAUGCGAGCGUUAUCCGGAUUCAUUGGGUUUAAAGGGUGCGCAGGCGGCCUGUUAAGUCAGCGGUAAAAGCCCGGGGCUCAACCCCGGCGAGCCGUUGAAACUGGCGGGCUGGAGUUGGAGAGAAGGACGCGGAAUGCGCGGUGUAGCGGUGAAAUGCUUAGAUAUCGCGCAGAACCCCGAUUGCGAAGGCAGCGUACCGGCUCCACACUGACGCUGAGGCACGAAAGCGUGGGUAUCG